rnacentral:tRNA from 1 species
GCCUGGGUGGCUCAGUCAGUUAAGCACCUGACUUUGGCUCAGGUCAUGACCUCACAGUUUGUGGGUUCGAGCCCCACAUCGGACU